rnacentral:misc_RNA from 1 species
GUGAAUCAUCGAAUUUUUGAACGCAAAUUGCACUCUCCUCGGAGAGCAUGCCUGUUUGCGGGUGAGCCUCUGAAAAAUCGUCAUCGUCGCUGUUUCGCGGUCGCGUUCGUCGGAACUUGGGUCAUCUUCAUUCUUUUCGUUUUAAGCGACUUAAAAUUUUCUUUUUGGUUCAAUGAACGUUUCUAAGAUUUAUUUCUUUACACGUUUCAGGUAUCGGUUUUUAUUAGACGUUGCGAUCAUAUCGGCU